UCUGCUCAGUGCCAGACAUCUGGAUAUUUAGAAAACAUCUGGGUGGCUGGAUUUUUCAGGUUUCUGCCUGACAUUUAAUAUCACAAACACGGAGCCUGCCUCCCGUCCCUCACCUCCCAAACACACCCAGCCCCUUCCCCGCACCCCACCCCCCUUCCCUGAUGGGUAAGAAACAUCCAUUCUUUCCAAUUCCCCAGCGUUUCCCCCCUACCGGAAAUCUGAUGGGCUUAUGACAUCAUGGCUGGCUGCUGAGCGAUGAAGUGGAUGCCACAAAGAAAUCCGACAUAUCAGAUGGAUUCUGAAAUCAGUUUCCCUCUGGCUGCGGUAACAGGCGUGAAGUCAGGAGAAUCAAACAGACCUUUUGGACAUCAUCCGAUUUUAAUAAAGACGCUGGCGUGUAUGAAAUGAAAGCGGCUAAUAAAUCAGACCUGAAGCUGCCUGUGAACAUU